rnacentral:rRNA from 1 species
CUAAGUUUGAUGGCGACCGGCGCACGGGUGAGUAACACGUAUCCAACCUGCCGAUAACUCGGGGAUAGCCUUUCGAAAGAAAGAUUAAUACCCGAUGGCAUAAUAGAACCGCAUGGUUUGAUUAUUAAAGAAUUUCGGUUAUCGAUGGGGAUGCGUUCCAUUAGGCAGUUGGUGGGGUAACGGCCCACCAAACCUUCGAUGGAUAGGGGUUCUGAGAGGAAGGUCCCCCACAUUGGAACUGAGACACGGUCCAA